rnacentral:rRNA from 1 species
ACGAACGCUGGCGGCGUGGAUUAGGCAUGCAAGUCGAACGGUGGCUUAGCUUUUCGAGUCAUAGUGGCGAAAGGGUGAGUAACACGUGGGAUAUCUGCCCUCGAGUUCGGGAUAACCAGUCGAAAGAUUGGCUAAUACCGGAUACGUUUAUGUGCUUUCGAGUACAUAAAGAAAGAUAGGGACUGGGCGCAAGCUCGGCCUGUCACUCCUGGAUGAGCCCGCGGCCUAUCAGCUAGUUGGUGAGGUAAUGGCUCACCAAGGCUAAGACGGGUAGCUGGUCUGAGAGGAUGGUCAGCCACACUGGAACUGAGACACUGUCCAGACAUCUACGGAUGGCUGCAGUCGAGAAUCUUUCGCAAUGGGGGAAACCCUGACGAAGCGACGCCGCGUGCAGGAUGAAGGUCUUCGGAUUGUAAACUGCUGUCGGCUGGGAGAAAUGCUUCUUAUUAAUAAUAAGAAGUUUUGAC